AGUACCUGUAAUAUGUGCAAUAACAAUAAAGUUGAAUCUAAUCUUGAGCAGGAACAAAUGCAUUUACUUAGUACAUAUCUGACAUUAACGAAUAUACACAUUUGUGCAUUCUUUAUAAAUGCAAACUUGUCAAGACCACUGACGGAAGUAGUUUUGAAAAGUAAUAAGUGGUUCUGUCUUUUACAUGUAUUCAACCCCCCUUGUACUGAUUUGUUUCAAAAUGAACUGACACUUGAGUCAUUCAUUUGUAGUGAUAUAAUAAUUGUGGGAUUUCUAUUGCAUCCACUUCAUCUGCAACGGAAAACGCCAACGCAAUUUCCGCCAUUGCAAACCCAGCCAGUCAAGCCGACUCCGACUCCGAGCUGUCCGACUUAAGACGAGCUUUUUGACCCUCCCCCGGCUGCGAUCGGCUACUCUCGUCUACUUUCGAGGCGAGCCGCAAUGUGUCUCAAACAAGCCUAAUUACCAAGGACACUUAUGUUUGCUCAAAGCACUUCAGAGAUGGGAAGCCAACUCUGGAAUAUCCAGAUCCCAUCCGGGCUCUCGUGUGUGCUGCUCCGAAAAGACACAGACCCUCACCCAAAAAAAGUUGUCAUUUCAGGUGUCAACGCACAACCCGCCUCCACCCCUUCGCCUCCUGUCUCCUAA